rnacentral:rRNA from 1 species
UACGUAGGUGGCAAGCGUUGUCCGGAUUUAUUGGGUUUAAAGGGUGCGUAGGCGGUUCAUUAAGUCAGUGGUGAAAUACGGCAGCUUAACUGUCGAGGUGCCAUUGAUACUGGUGGACUUGAGUACUGAUGAGGUAGGCGGAAUGGACGGUGUAGCGGUGAAAUGCUUAGAGAUCGUCCAGAACACCGAUAGCGAAGGCAGCUUACUAAGGAGUAACUGACGCUGAGGCACGAAAGUGUGGGGAUCAAACAGG